CGGGACGGGUGAGUAAUGUCUGGGAAACUGCCUGAUGGAGGGGGAUAACUACUGGAAACGGUAGCUAAUACCGCAUAACGUCGCAAGACUAAAGAGGGGGACCUUCGGGCCUCUUGCCAUCGGAUGUGCCCAGAUGGGAUUAGCUAGUAGGUGGGGUAACGGCUCACCUAGGCGACGAUCCCUAGCUGGUCUGAGAGGAUGACCAGCCACACUGGAACUGAGACACGGUCCAG
rnacentral:rRNA from 1 species